CCUACGGGUGGCUGCAGUGGGGAAUAUUGCACAAUGGGCGAAAGCCUGAUGCAGCGACGCAGCGUGAGUGAAGAAGGAUUUCGGGAUGUAAAGCUCUAUCAGCGGGGAGGAAAAUGACGGUACGUGAAAAAGAAGCAACGGCUAACUACGUGCCAGCAGCCGCGGUAAUACGUAGGGGGCAAGCGUUAUCCGGAUUUACUGGGUGUAAAGUGAGCGUAGACGGCGAAGCAAGUCUGAAGUGAAAACCCAGGGCUCAACCCUGGUACUGCUUUGGAAACUGGUUUGCUAGAGUGUCGGCGAGGUAAGUGGAAUUCCUGGUGUAGCGGUGAAAUGCGUAGAUAUUAGGAGGAACACCAGUGGCGAAGGCGGCUUACUGGACGAUAACUGACGUUGAGGCUCGAAAGCGUGGGGAGCAAACAGGAUUAGAUACCCGAGUAGUC
rnacentral:rRNA from 1 species